rnacentral:misc_RNA from 1 species
GAAAGCACCCUACUGCCUCAUGUGAUAGGACCUCCAGUUGUGGGCUCCAUGCAACCACCAAACCUUUCUCAGAUGUCUCCUCUAUGAAGUUGCCAGGCAGCUUAGAUUGCUCUGCUGCUCUAACAACCCACAGGAAGUAGCGUUUGGUUCCCUUCAAGCCCGCAGCUAGCUCCUCCAUUUGUUCAACUCCAAGUUGUGCCAGGCUUCCAAAAG